CCUACGGGUGGCUGCAGUGGGGGAUAUUGCACAAUGGGGGGAACCCUGAUGCAGCGACGCCGCGUGGGUGAAGAAGCGCCUCGGCGCGUAAAGCCCUGUCAGCAGGGAAGAAAAUGACGGUACCUGAAGAAGAAGCCCCGGCUAACUACGUGCCAGCAGCCGCGGUAAUACGUCGGGGGCAAGCGUUAUCCGGACUUACUGGGUGGAAGGGGGGCGCAGGCGGAGAUGCAAGCCAGGAGUGAAAGCCCGGGGCCCAACCCCGGGACUGCUGUGGGAAGUGGGUGGCUGGAGUGCAGGAGAGGCAGGCGGAAUUCCUGGUGUAGCGGUGAAAUGCGUAGAUAUCAGGAGGAACACCGGUGGCGAAGGCGGCCUGCUGGACUGCAACUGACGUUGAGGCCCGAAAGCGUGGGGAGCAAACAGGAUUAGAUACCCCGGUAGUC
rnacentral:rRNA from 1 species